rnacentral:rRNA from 1 species
GUCUCAAAGAUUAAGCCAUGCAUGUCUAAGUACACGCCCCUGUAAGGCGAAACCGCGAAUGGCUCAUUAAAUCAGUUAUGGUUUCUUAGAUCGUACAUACCCUACUUGGAUAACUGUGGUAAUUCUAGGGCUAAUACAUGCAACUGAGCCCCCGGGGCAACUUGUUGCCGCGGGGGUGCUUUUAUUAGGACAAAACCAGACCUGCGCGUCUCCCGACGUGCGGGAUUUGCGGUGGUGACCCCUGGAUAACAGUGGCGGAUCGCACGGCCUCUGCGCCGGCGACGCAUCUUUCAAGUGUCUGCCUUAUCAACUGUCGAUGGUAGGUUAUGCGCCUACCAUGGUUGCUACAGGUAACGGGGAAUCAGGGUUCGGUUCCGGAGAGGGGGCCUGAGAGACGGCCACCACAUCCAAGGAAGGCAGCAGGCGCGCAAAUUACCCAAUCCCGGCUCGGGGAGGUAGUGACGAAAAAUAACGAUACGGGACUCUUACGAGGCUCCGUAAUCGGAAUGAGCACAGCUCAAGCCAUUUAGCGAGGAUCCAUUCGAGGGCCAGUCAGGUGCCAGCAGCUGCGGUAAAACCUGCUCGGAUAGCAUAUAUUAAAGUUGUUGCGGUUAAAAAGCCCGUAGUUGUAUCUCAGUCGCGUCCCCGGGGCGAUGCGUCGCGAGGCGCGAUUCGUCCGGGGCCGGCAGCCGUGUCGGCGGGCUCGGUUGGCCUUCGCUGGCUGACCUUGUUCUCCGGCGAUUUUACUUUGAAAAAAUUAGGGUGCUCAAGGCAGGCUCUUCGGCCUGGAUAAUGGUGCAUGGAAUAAUGGAAUAGGACCUCGGUUCUAUUUUGUUGGUUUUCGGAAUCCGAGGUAAUGAUUGAGAGGGACAGACGGGGGCAUUCGUACUGCGGCGCUAGAGGUGAAAUUCUUGGACCGCCGCAAGACGA